rnacentral:rRNA from 1 species
UACGUAGGGGGCAAGCGGUUGUUCGGAAUUACUGGGCGUAAAGGGCGCGUGAGGCGGCACAGCAAGUCGGGAGUGAAAGCCCGGGGCUCAACCCCCGGGAACUGCUUUCGAAACUGCUGAGCUAGAGUACAGAAGGGCAACCGGGAAUUCUUGGUGUAGCGGUGAAAUGCGUAGAUAUCAAGAGGAACACCUGCGGCGAAGGCGGGUUGCUGGGCCGACACUGACGCUGAGGCGCGAAAGCGUGGGGAGCGAACAGG